rnacentral:lncRNA from 1 species
UCAUUCCUGUGAGCAGGUCAUCACAUACACAUGUAAGAAUUCGGCAGCAGACAGAUAAGAGCUUUCCAAGGGUGGGUGCUGAAGUGGGAGGCGGAAAGAAUGCCAACUCACUCAGAAACACAGACCUAAACUUCCGUUGCAAGGCACUGACAGUACCUUUUGCCCCCAAAUGAAAGUUGAGAAACACAGGUGCGGAAGUAGGUAGGAACAGAUUAGGGAAGACGCAGCUAGAAGCCAGUGCCUGCAAACCUGGAUAAUUUUUUGUAACUCUUCAAAGUUCACAAGACUAAGAGUGAAGUGAAAGGCAAUAGGCAAUCAAAAAAAGCCAUUUCUUAUCUUUAAGACAGAAAAAUAGUUUAUCACUUCAACUGUGUUAGUCCUAACUGAUCUCCCUGUCUCCAGCUCUCCAAUAUAAUCUAGAUCCCAUGCUGACCUUUCUAAACAAGAUUCAUUCAUCUGUCUGUCUGUCCAUCUAUCCAUCCAUCCAUCCAUCAGUAUUUUCUGGGAGCCUGAUAAAUGCCACAAAAUCCCCCUACCCAAAAAUUUGUUAAUGAAUUUUUUUUUUUUUUUUUGAGAUGGAGUUUCGC